UAAGCAUAUCAAUAAGCGGAGGAAAAGAAACCAACAGGGAUUGCCCUAGUAACGGCGAGUGAAGCGGCAACAGCUCAAAUUUGAAAUCUGGCUUCGGCCCGAGUUGUAAUUUGCAGAGGAAGCUUUAGGCGCGGCACCAACUGAGUCCCCUGGAACGGGGCGCCACAGAGGGUGAGAGCCCCGUAUAGUUGGACGCCUAGCCUGUGUAAAGCUCCUUCGACGAGUCGAGUAGUUUGGGAAUGCUGCUCAAAAUGGGAGGUAAAUUUCUUCUAAAGCUAAAUACCGGCCAGAGACCGAUAGCGCACAAGUAGAGUGAUCGAAAGAUGAAAAGCACUUUGAAAAGAGGGUUAAAUAGCACGUGAAAUUGUUGAAAGGGAAGCGCUUGUGACCAGACUUGCGCCCGGCUGAUCAUCCGGUGUUCUCACCGGUGCACUCUGCCGGGCUCAGGCCAGCAUCGGUUCUCGCGGGGGGAUAAAGGUCCUGGGAACGUAGCUCCUCCGGGAGUGUUAUAGCCCAGGGCGUCAUGCCCUCGCGGGGACCGAGGUUCGCGCAUCUGCAAGGAUGCUGGCGUAAUGGUCAUCAGCGACCCGUCUUGAAACACGGACCAAGGAGUCAAGGUUUUGCGCGAGUGUUUGGGUGUAAAACCCGCACGCGUAAUGAAAGUGAACGUAGGUGAGAGCUUCGGCGCAUCAUCGACCGAUCCUGAUGUUUUCGGAUGGAUUUGAGUAGGAGCGUUAAGCCUUGGACCCGAAAGAUGGUGAACUAUGCUUGGAUAGGGUGAAGCCAGAGGAAACUCUGGUGGAGGCUCGCAGCGGUUCUGACGUGCAAAUCGAUCGUCAAAUCUGAGCAUGGGGGGCGAAAGACUAAUCGAACCAUCUAGUAGCUGGUUACCGCCGAAG
rnacentral:rRNA from 1 species